UCUUGACAUCCAGAGAACUUUCCAGAGAUGGAUGGGUGCCUUCGGGAACUCUGAGACAGGUGCUGCAUGGCUGUCGUCAGCUCGUGUUGUGAAAUGUUGGGUUAACGUCCGCAACGAGCGCAACCCCUAUCCUUUGUUGCCAGCGAUUCGGUCGGGAACUCAAAGGAGACUGCCGGUGAUAAACCGGAGGAAGGUGGGGAUGACGUCAAGUCAUCAUGGCCCUUACGAGUAGGGCUACACACGUGCUACAAUGGCGUAUACAAAGAGAAGCGACCUCGCGAGAGCAAGCGGACCUCAUAAAGUACGUCGUAGUCCGGAUUGGAGUCUGCAACUCGACUCCAUGAAGUCGGAAUCGCUAGUAAUCGUAGAUCAGAAUGCUACGGUGAAUACGUUCCCGGGCCUUGUACACACCGCCCGUCACACCAUGGGAGUGGGUUGCAAAAGAAGUAGAUAGCUUAACCUUCGGGAGGGCGUUUACCACUUUGUGAUUCAUGACUGGGGUGAAGUCGUAACAAGGUAGGCGUAGCGAG
rnacentral:rRNA from 1 species